GAUACUGCUACAGAACUACACAUUAACAAAAACCACAGAAUGGCGCCAUGUUUGUUAGUAGUGAGAGUGAGACGCAAAGGAGACGAUCGUGGGAUAGAGAGCGAGAUGGAGAUUCAUCAUUUUGUAAAAAAAAAAAAGAAAGAUAAGGAAAGGAAAGACGCGGCUCCCACAGCGCUCUGAAGUUUAAUGGCAGGAGGCUGGUUACACCGAACUGGAAGGAUGAAGUUCUCCUGCUGCUAAAACAUGCUUGGAAGACACACCAGAGGACAAACCUUCAAGUUUGAAUAGCUUCAUCUCACUGGGGUCACAUGUGUUGCACUCUAUGUGGCAGAGGAGACGUACAUCGCAGGAUGCGGGGGCGCUGCGUCAAGCUGCAGGUCCCUUUCAUCGCAGUUGGACUUUGGCGACUUCAGCGCUGCUGAAACCCCCGAGAGCAACAGCCAAACCAAAUGUUUUCACUCAAAAGUGGGCAAUCUGACGUCUUCAGGCUGUUAGAAGAGGAAAACAACCCAACUGAUGAGUCCCGUAUGCGGACGUUCAAGACUGCAGUCUAGGAAUCCCGUUGUCAUUCCCAGGAAUUUCUCUGUUUCUCGCCGCAAUUUUCAUUCCUCUCCUCUCUUUUUCAUUUGGCCUAAUGAAUGUUGACCCCGGAGACCUCCCGCUGAGAGAUGCCAGCAGGGAAGCUGACCGCCCUCCGCGACAAACCGGCUUUCUUUCCAGUCUCAGAGGUUUCACUUUAGUAACAUUUACUCUGUUUUCUCAUUUUACAUAGUCCUUUAUGAGAUUAUCAACUUCAGAAAUGAUUUCCUAAUUCUGGUGAUUUUCUUUUAAUUUAGGCUCCAGUUAAAGUUUACAAUCAAAGGCUUGAAUAAUUUACAGAGAAUUAAGGGAGUAUUCAAACCCUCCCAGCUUAGUCCGCUUUAAUCAAACUCCAGUCCGUUUGCCCAGACAGUCCGGUUCAGUUGGCGAGGUGUGAAUGCGCAAUCGAACUCUGAUGCGGACCAAAAAAGCGAAUUCUGUUCCGCCUACAAACCUCGGUCUCGGUUCGAUUAAAGUGAACUCUGGUGCGGAACAAAUGCAUAUGUGGAUGGAAGCGGACCAGAGAUCACUCCAGAAGCAGGAAGUGGACUGUAACGCAGGACAUUCUGGGUCAACUGAACCAAAACUAACGCAAGAGUAACCGUAGAGGAAGAAAUGGUUUGUGGUCUUUUACCAAAGACAAAAGAGAAAUCCUACAAUUAAUAAAAUCUGACGCCGUUUUAUUUUAGUUUACAUUUUGAGAAUUAAGAAAUUGUGUGGUGUAGUACUGGGAGCACUGGGAGAAGGCAGACGAGCUUAAGUUUGUUUUAUUUUUUCUUACAGAUCACCUGUUUUAUAUUCUACCGUCACAAUGAUGAUAUUAACAUGUGUAACAAAAAUAUAUAUUUUUAAUAAAAGUAACAUAAUGCAGCUUAAGGACAAAAACGCUGCCCUUAAAGCAACAAGCGCUUAAGAAAUUUGAUUGAGUUAAAUAAGAUAAUAAAAUCUGACAAAUAAGA